ACUCUCUUUCCACCUCCUUUGGGGGGCUGGAAGACUUUGUCGGCUGUGCGCUUAGGGUGCACUCUGAUUAAAUGGAGUAAGUCUGGAUCAGGCUGGUGGCCUGGGACAUUGUGUGCUAGAGACGUCGCUUCGGCUGACUGUCUUGUCACAAUGCGUCCUUGGCUAUUCAAAGCUGGCCUGAUACGCUGGGCUUUUUCAGUGGGCCCUCUCUCUUAGGGAAAGGGUCUACAACCCCCCU
rnacentral:misc_RNA from 1 species